CUUGAGCCGGGACAGAAAAGUAGGGAUGGGGGAGGAGGUACGUGCUGAGCGCUGGGAGCCUGGGAGUACCUUUUCAGGUUAGGGGCCCAAGAGCUGAGGUUGGUAGUGGGUUUGACUGAGGGGGCGGGAUCAGGAAACGGGAAAAGUAACACAAACGUAGCUCGAAUAGGCGGUAGGUGGACACCUGCCCCAGACAAGGCGCCGUGGACCCUCUAGAAGCCUAGCACCAGGACAGAAGCGGUGCCGGUCGCUCCCCGGUGCGCCCCCGCCUGUCCGCGCGUCGCCUGCCGGGCCAGCUGCAGGUCUGCACACCUCCUAGGGGGAAGAAAAGCUUUCUAUCACGAGUUCAGCCAGCUUCAGGUAGCACCUUCUGACCCUGGGGCCCCCUCCAGCUGCCUGCCCCGGGUCCUAAGGAAGUUGGUGGCUUAAGGGAGUGCCAGAGAAUCUCGAAGGAACCAGGAAGCAGGCUGCAAGUGCCGGGCAGUGCGUCUAAAUCUGGAUAGGCCUCAUCAGAAGGGGAAGGAAAGGACGCAGAAGGCCCCGACAGCAAAUACUUACACUUGGAAGAGGAAGAUCCAUAAAAACAGCAGGAUGGAGACACAGUUGGUGAUGUUCCACAUCAUUAGAAACAACAGCAGCAGCACAUGGUUGACCAGAACAAGACUGAGGCAAGGGCUAAACUCUACGUCAUGUCUCCCUCCACGAGGACAAAUGGGAGAAAGGUCUGUGAAAUCCUUAGGAUGCCUUGGCCGAUAUCCAGCGCACACCUGACCCACACGGACAUUGCUAGAGACCUCGGGAAGCACAUGCUUUGAAGUGUAUCAUGUUUACUGGUUCCUUUGGCUUCCUACAACCCAACUCCCACCUGGAACUCCCUCUCUACUGGGUUCGUCCUCUCUUACACACAGCUCUUUGGUGUCAAAUAAAAACUGAAGGCUUUCUAGAAGA